rnacentral:rRNA from 1 species
UACGUAGGGUGCGAGCGUUAAUCGGAAUUACUGGGCGUAAAGCGUGCGCAGGCGGUCUGUUAAGACCGAUGUGAAAUCCCCGGGCUUAACCUGGGAACUGCAUUUGUGACUGCAUGGCUGGAGUGCGGCAGAGGGGGAUGGAAUUCCGCGUGUAGCAGUGAAAUGCGUAGAUAUGCGGAGGAACACCGAUGGCGAAGGCAAUCCCCUGGGCCUGCACUGACGCUCAUGCACGAAAGGCGUGGGGAGCAAACAGG